UUACACAUGCAAGUCGAACGGCAGCACGGAGCUUGCUCUGGUGGCGAGUGGCGAACGGGUGAGUAAUAUAUCGGAACGUACCCUAGAGUGGGGGAUAACGUAGCGAAAGUUACGCUAAUACCGCAUACGAUCUAAGGAUGAAAGUGGGGGAUCGCAAGACCUCAUGCUCGUGGAGCGGCCGAUAUCUGAUUAGCUAGUUGGUAGGGUAAAAGCCUACCAAGGCAUCGAUCAGUAGCUGGUCUGAGAGGACGACCAGCCACACUGGAACUGAGACACGGUCCAGACUCCUACGGGAGGCAGCAGUGGGGAAUUUUGGACAAUGGGCGAAAGCCUGAUCCAGCAAUGCCGCGUGAGUGAAGAAGGCCUUCGGGUUGUAAAGCUCUUUUGUCAGGGAAGAAACGGUGAGAGCUAAUAUCUCUUGCUAAUGACGGUACCUGAAGAAUAAGCACCGGCUAACUACGUGCCAGCAGCCGCGGUAAUACGUAGGGUGCAAGCGUUAAUCGGAAUUACUGGGCGUAAAGCGUGCGCAGGCGGUUUUGUAAGUCUGAUGUGAAAUCCCCGGGCUCAACCUGGGAAUUGCAUUGGAGACUGCAAGGCUAGAAUCUGGCAGAGGGGGGUAGAAUUCCACGUGUAGCAGUGAAAUGCGUAGAUAUGUGGAGG
rnacentral:rRNA from 1 species